GACGAGGGAUCCUAGCGUUGUUCGGAAUCAUUGGGCGUAAAGCGGAUGUAGGUGGCUUUGUAAGUCAGGUGUGAAAGCCCAGAGCUCAACUCUGGAAGUGCAUUUGAUACUGCGAAGCUUGAGUGUGGAAGAGGUAAGUAGAAUACCUGGUGUAGUGGUGAAAUACGUAGAUAUCAGGUGGAAUACCGGAGGCGAAGGCGGCUUACUGGUCCAACACUGACACUGAGAUCCGAAAGCGUGGGGAUCAAACAGG
rnacentral:rRNA from 2 species